rnacentral:piRNA from 1 species
UCACCGUACUGUGGUAAUGAGCCAGACA